rnacentral:rRNA from 1 species
CCUUACACAUGCAAGUCGAACGGUAACAGCACUUCGGUGGCUGACGAGUGGCGGACGGGUGAGUAAUACAUCGGAACGUGCCCGAUCGUGGGGGAUAACUACUCGAAAGAGUGGCUCAAUACCGCAUGACGAUCUUACGGAUGAAAGCGGGGGAUCGCAAGACCUCGCGCGGACGGAGCGGCCGAUGGCAGAUUAGGUAGUUGGUGGGAUAAAAGCAAACCAAGCCGACGAUCUGUAGCUGGUCUGAGAGGACGACCAGCCACACUGGGACUGAGACACGGCCCAGACUCCUACGGGAGGCAGCAGUGGGGAAUUUUGGACAAUGGGGGAAACCCUGAUCCAGGGAUGCCGCGUGCAGGAUGAAGGCCUUCGGGUUGUAAACUGCUUUUGUACGGAACGAAAAGACUCUUUCUAAUACAGAGGGUCCAUGACGGUACCGUAAGAAUAAGCACCGGCUAACUACGUGCCAGCAGCCGCGGUAAUACGUAGGGUGCAAGCGUUAAUCGGAAUUACUGGGGC